rnacentral:tRNA from 1 species
GUGGGUAUAGCUUAGUGGUAGAGUGCAUGUUUAGCAUGCAUGAGAUCCUGAGUUCAGUCCUCAGUACCUCCA